rnacentral:rRNA from 1 species
GUAGGGUGCGAGCGUUAAUCGGAAUUACUGGGCGUAAGGCGUGCGCAGGCGGUUUUGUAAGACAGACGUGAAAUCCCCGGGCUUAACCUGAGAACUGCGUUUGUGACUGCAAGACUAGAGUGUAGCAGAGGGGGGUAGAAUUCCAUGUGUAGCGGUGAAAUGCGUAGAUAUAUGGAGGAAUACCGGUGGCGAAGGCGGCCUCCUGGCUCGAUACUGACGCUGAGGUGCGAAAGCGUGGGGAUCAAACAGGAUUAGAUACCCUGGUAGUCCACGCCGUAAACGAUGUCUACUAGCCGUUGGGAGACUUGAUUUCUUAGUGGCGCAGCUAACGCAAUAAGUAGACCGCCUGGGGAGUACGGCCGCAAGGUUA